AUAGCUGAAUUGUUGGCUAUACGGUUUUUAGAUGGCCCCGGUAAUCUUCUGCUUCCGCCAAGAAUAGAAAGAUUAUCGGGGUUUUCGCUU
rnacentral:antisense_RNA from 1 species